AAAAAGACACUCGGCAAGCCGGGAGCACUCCCGCCGGAGCACGGGGCGGGGCUCUGGGGUCCCUCAGCUCCUUGCAUGGUGAGAGCCCAGUGAGUGUUUUGUUCGCAGUAAUUGGUUAUCGUAUCAGAAGUUUCCCAAACGACCGGGACCUGGGGCGCCAUCCUUUCCCGACAACUUCAGGAGGCAGUUUCGGUUUUGCUUAUGAUUUCAGAGGCACGAGCAGGGGAUGACCUGGAUCAGCUGAGCCUUCUAUGACUAAACUGGGACUUUUCAAGGUGUCUGGUCCUCGCGGACACCGUUCGGCACAUGGGUGGCUGCCCACCGGCAUUGAAACCCUGGAGAGUGUGCGACCUAUUGCAGAGAUUAAGACCAGCUUCAAUACGCUCAGUCCAAUUAUCUAUACAAAUGCACAGGACGAGUGAUCAAUCAUAUAGGUGCUUUUAACUCUGCUUUGCUGGAACUUUUCACAAGGAACUCAAAUUGGACUUUCAAGAACCUCUCCAGGCCAGGAAGGUAAGCCAGUUGUGUCCUGU